AUUGAACGCUGGCGGCAGGCCUAACACAUGCAAGUCGAGCGGAGCGGCGGACGGGCGAGUAAUGCCUAGGAAUCUGCCUGGUCGUUGGGGAUAACGUCCGGGAACGGGCGCUAAUCCCGCAUACUAUCAGAUGAGCCUAGGUGGGAUUUGCUAGUUGGUGGGGUAAAGGCCUACCUAGGCGACGAUCCGUAACUGGGCUGAGAGGAUGAUCAGUCACACUGGAACUGAGACACGGUCCAGACUCCUACGGGAGGCAGCAGUGGGGAAUAUUGGACAAUGGGCGAAAGCCUGAUCCAGCCAUGCCGCGUGUGUGAAGAAGGUCUUCGGAUUGUAAAGCACUUUAAGUUGGGAGGCGUUACCAACAGAAUAAGCACCGGCUAACUUCGUGCCAGCCGCCGCGGUAAUUC
rnacentral:rRNA from 1 species